GAUGAAGAACGCAGCGAAAUGAGAUAAGUAAUGUGAAUUGCAGAAUUCAGUGAAUCAUCGAAUCUUUGAACGCACAUUGCGCCCGCCAGUAUUCUGGCGGGCAUGCCUGUUCGAGCGUCAUUUCAACCAUCAAGCCCCCGGCUUGUGUUGGGGACCUGCGGCUGCCGCAGGCCCUGAAAACCAGUGGCGGGCUCGCUAGUCACUCCGAGCGUAGUAAUACAUCUCGCUCAGGGCGUGCUGCGGGUUCCGGCCGUUAAAAAGCCUUAUUUACCCAAGGUUGACCUCGGAUCAGGUAGGAAGACCCGCUGAACUUAAGCAUAUCAAUAAGCGGAGGA
rnacentral:misc_RNA from 1 species